UACGGGAGGCAGCAGUGGGGAAUAUUGGACAAUGGGCGGAAGCCUGAUCCAGCCAUGCCGCGUGUGUGAAGAAGGCCUUUUGGUUGUAAAGCACUUUAAGCGAGGAGGAGGCUCUCCUAGUUAAUACCUAGGAAGAGUGGACGUUACUCGCAGAAUAAGCACCGGCUAACUCUGUGCCAGCAGCCGCGGUAAUACAGAGGGUGCGAGCGUUAAUCGGAUUUACUGGGCGUAAAGCGUGCGUAGGCGGCUGAUUAAGUCGGAUGUGAAAUCCCUGAGCUUAACUUAGGAAUUGCAUUCGAUACUGGUCAGCUAGAGUAUGGGAGAGGAUGGUAGAAUUCCAGGUGUAGCGGUGAAAUGCGUAGAGAUCUGGAGGAAUACCGGAUGGCGAAGGCAGCCAUCUGGGCCUAAUACUGACGCUGAGUCGAAAGCAUGGGGAGCAAACAGGGAUUAGAAUAACCCGU
rnacentral:rRNA from 1 species